rnacentral:SRP_RNA from 1 species
AUGGGCUAGAUUGGGGCCAGGGGUCCCAGCACCGUACAUCCCCUUUAGACGGGUCGAAGACCCGGGGCGUUAUAUAAUUCUAAGAUGCCUUCUGUUUUAAGCGUCGAUGCUCUGCCUCAUAUGGCAGUCUUUACGCAUCAACCGAGCCAGAUCGAAAGAAGCAACUCUAAAUGCAUAAAACUGUGCUUGUGAGAUACAGAGUGGAGCUGAUGGCAGAAGCUCCUUCUUAGUGUUACUAUGGCCAACCGGGAUGCCCAU